rnacentral:rRNA from 1 species
UACGUAGGGAGGCAAGCGUUGUCCGGAAUUAGCUGGGUGUAAAGCGCGUGUAGGCGGGCCAAGGCCAAGUCUGGUGGUGAAAUCGCUCGGCUCAACUGGGCGGGGUCCAUGGAAACUGGUCAGCUGGAGGACGGUAGAGGUGAGUGGAAUUCCCGGUGUAGUGGUGAAAUGCGUAGAGAUCGGGAGGAACACCCGUGGCGAAGGCGGCUCACUGGGCCGGUCCUGACGCUGAGACGCGAAGGCGUGGGGAGCGAACGGGG